rnacentral:piRNA from 1 species
UGCCCCCAUGUCUAACAACAUGGCUUUGA